AAAUCAUCUAUGGAUCUAACCAAAUCAUAAAAAUUUAAAUCCGAUAUCGAAUACUAAAAAGUCAAAACUUGGUCAAACCUUUCAAAUUUAAAGCUUCAAACUGAGAAUUGUUCUUUCAAAUGUAUUCCGAUUAUCCUGAAAACCAAAACCGACGAUUUGCAUAAGUCAUGAUAUAUCAGACAAGGCUAGUCAUGCCCAAGAACUGGCGACCGAAGUAUAAAUGCUCAAAACGACCAGCCAGAUCAUUACAAUUUAUAAGCCAUCGGAAAAUAGGGUGCAGUUUUCUUUUCUUCUUAUUUUCCAAAAAUUUGC
rnacentral:lncRNA from 1 species